UUAAAAAUAAGCUAAAUAAGCUAAUGAGUUCAUACCUCAUUAAUAAAAGUUUUAAUCUUUUUUUUUAAA
rnacentral:tRNA from 1 species